rnacentral:rRNA from 1 species
AUUGAACGCUGGCGGCAGGCCUAACACAUGCAAGUCGAGCGGAUGAAGGGAGCUUGCUCCUGGAUUCAGCGGCGGACGGGUGAGUAAUGCCUAGGAAUCUGCCUGGUAGUGGGGGAUAACGUCCGGAAACGGGCGCUAAUACCGCAUACGUCCUGAGGGAGAAAGUGGGGGAUCUUCGGACCUCACGCUAUCAGAUGAGCCUAGGUCGGAUUAGCUAGUUGGUGGGGUAAAGGCCUACCAUGGCGACGAUCCGUAACUGGUCUGAGAGGAUGAUCAGUCACACUGGAACUGAGACACGGUCCAGACUCCUACGGGAGGCAGCAGUGGGGAAUAUUGGACAAUGGGCGAAAGCCUGAUCCAGCCAUGCCGCGUGUGUGAAGAAGGUCUUCGGAUUGUAAAGCACUUUAAGUUGGGAGGAAGGGCAGUAAGUUAAUACCUUGCUGUUUUGACGUUACCAACAGAAUAAGCACCGGCUAACUUCGUG